UGAGCGAUAGGCCAUCUAUUGAUGAUAUCAGUGUUGCCCCAACUAAAUGACCUCCAUGACUAAAUGUCAAUCCAACUGCAGGUUUAGAAGAUGGGGUAGUAGGUAGUGGUGGUGGAGGGGGGGAGGUGUAGCUCAAUGCUGUGUUGAAGCAGUAGACCCCUCAAGAUCUGGCAUUGACCUCAUAGUGGAUGGUGAAGGAAUCUAGCUGAUCAUUGGGCUCAUCCUGUAGAUGUAACUGCCUUGACUGUGAAUGGCCCAAUAAACUUCCCUUGCGAUGGUUGCCUCGCAUCCCUCUGGAUCCAUGCAUGAUUUUUGAAAUGUUCAGCAGCCUAUUUGAUUGCUUUGCGUCUUUGAAAUGCUCAGCAGUCUUGUUCGAUUUCCUGAUUCUUCUUCUUCUUCUUCUUCUUCUU
rnacentral:misc_RNA from 1 species